rnacentral:rRNA from 1 species
GGGUGACUGUCCCGCCUCGCCGCGCGGACUCGCCUCAAAGUCAUUGGCAGCAGACUCGGUAGCUAAUUGCGCAGCACAUCGCGCCAGAGGCUCCGGGCCUGCUCUCCACGAGCACAGUCUCAUCAGUUUGACCUCGGAUCAGGUAGGGAUACCCGCUGAACUUAAGCAUAUCAAUAAGCGGAGGAAAAGAAACCAACAGGGAUUGCCCUAGUAACGGCGAGUGAAGCGGCAACAGCUCAAAUUUGAAAUCUGGCUCCUUCCGGGGUCCGAGUUGUAAUUUGUAGAGGGUGCUUUGGCGUCGGCCAUGGUCUAAGUUCCUUGGAACAGGGCGUCACAGAGGGUGAGAAUCCCGUACGUGGCCGCUGGCCUUCGCCAUGUAAAGCCCCUUCGACGAGUCGAGUUGUUUGGGAAUGCAGCUCUAAAUGGGAGGUAAAUUUCUUCUAAAGCUAAAUAUUGGCCAGAGACCGAUAGCGCACAAGUAGAGUGAUCGAAAGAUGAAAAGCACUUUGGAAAGAGAGUCAAAAAGCACGUGAAAUUGUUGAAAGGGAAGCGCUUGCAGCCAGACUUGCCCGUAGUUGCUCAUCCAGGCUUCGGCCCGGUGCACUCUUCUGCGGGCAGGCCAGCAUCAGUUCAGGCGGUCGGAUAAAGGUCCCGGGAAUGUGGCUCUCUUCGGGGAGUGUUAUAGCCCGGGGCGUAAUGCGGCCAG